UCCAACCGCGUGCCAGGGGCCGCGGGAAUACUGAGGGUCCGGUCGUUGUACGGAAUUAUUGGGCGUAAAGGGCUCGGAGGCGGUGUGUCGCGGCGGGAGUGAAAACUUCUGGCUUAACUCGGAGCUUGCUUUCGAUACGGGCAGACUUGAGGCAUGCAGGGGAGAACGGAAUUCCUUGUGUAGCGGUGAAAUGCGCAGAGAUCAGGAGGAACACCGGUGGCGAAGGCGGUUCUCUGGGAAUGUUCUGACGCUGAGGAGCGAAAGUGUGGGGAGCGAACAGGAUUAGAUACCCUGGUAGUC
rnacentral:rRNA from 1 species